rnacentral:rRNA from 1 species
GGGUAAGACGGGUGCCAGCCGCCGCGGUAACACCCGCAGCUCGAGUGGUGGUCACUUUUAUUGAGCCUAAAGCGUUCGUAGCCGGUCCUGUAAAUCUUCAGAAAAAUUCUCCCGCUCAACGGGAGAUCCUCUGAAGAGACUGUGGGACUAGGGACUGGGUGAGGUUGAAUGUACUUCUGGGGUAGGGGUAAAAUCCUGUAAUCCUGGAAGGACAACCGGUGGCGAAGGCGUUCAACUAGAACGACUCCGACGGUGAGGGACGAAGGCUAGGGGAGCAAACCGGAUUAGAUACCCGGGUAGUCCUAGCUGUAAACGCUGCCCACUUGGUGUUGCCCUUUCUUAGGGAAGGGGCAGUGCCGGAGCGAAGGUGUUAAGUGGGCCGCUUGGGGAGUAUGGUCGCAAGGCUGAAACUUAAAGGAAUUGGCGGGGGAGCACCGCAACGGGAGGAGCGUGCGGUUUAAUUGGAUUCAACGCCGGAAAACUCACCGGGAGCGACCUUCGGAUGAGAGUCAACCUGACGAGUUUACUCGAUAGAAGGAGAGGUGGUGCAUGGCCGUCGUCAGCUCGUACCGUAGGGCGUUCACUUAAGUGUGAUAACGAGCGAGACCCCCAUCUCUAAUUGCCAGGCUGUCUUGGCGGACAGCGGCACUUUAGAGGGACCGCCAGCGCUAAGCUGGAGGAAGGAGGGGUCGACGGCAGGUCAGUACGCCCCGAAUCUCCCGGGCAACACGCGCGCUACAAAGGACAGGACAAUGAGUUGCGACCUCGAAAGGGGUAGCUAACCUCGAAACCUGUUCGUAGUUAGGAUUGAGGGCUGUAACU